CGGGGCUUGAACCCAUGAACUGGGAGAUCAACAUCUGAGCCCAAGUCUGAUGCUCAACCAACUGAGCCAUCCAGGUGCCCCAAUUGCAAAUUUUCAUCCACGCAUAACUUUCAACCUAAGUGACUGUGGGCAAAAUUGUCAUAGAUCUUUGCAUUAAGUAGGAAACAAGAGUGGGGAAGGAUGUGAGCUGACACCUUUCUCCUCACUGGGGUUCCUGGCACAAACCUUUGCACUUUGUGAUUGCCAAUUUAAUUGUCCUUCUAUCCCCACAAGACAAAACUGUGUCUCUCACCCCAGAGUUUUCCCAGAAUGUGGAGGGACUUUUAUCCUCAUGUUCUUGGCAACCACCUUGGUAGUUUGACACAUAGUAGGGGCUUAGUAAAACUGAAUGCCUCCAGGCUAGGACACAGCUAUUAGCCACCUGGCUGCAAAGAAAAGACAGGAAGUGCACACUGGAGACUGUUGGCAACAUAUUUAGAAGGCAAUCCACAACAAUCCCUUCUCUGCAAAGGGGUUAUUCAAAAGUCAGACCUCUGUUGGCGGUGAUAUCUACAAAAAGGGAAAUUAUCAAAAGACACAGAAAAAGCAUCAAAGCAAGCUGUGAAAUUGUGGCCUACGCACCGAAUCAAGAGCUGGAAGAAAUCUUUGCACUUUCUACCUGGGGGGGCUUUGGGAUCUAGCAGAUUCCUCUCUGAGCCCCAGUUUAUCUGUAAAAUGAGUAUAGCAGUACCCACCUCACCGGGAUGGAAAGAUGAGUAACUCCAACAAUAAUUUAUAAGUUCUAAAGCCGUGUAAACCUAA